rnacentral:tRNA from 1 species
AUUAUUUUGGCAGAAAAAUGCAUUAAAUUUAGAAUUUAAGUAUAUGAUUUAUUAGUCAUAAAUAAUA